rnacentral:rRNA from 1 species
GAAGUGUAUAUCAUUGUUGUUGCGGUUAAAAAGCUCGUAGUUGGAUCUGCGCCUUUGAGUUCGGUCCUCCCAAAUGGGAGUGCACUGAUACUCGGGGCUAACUGGCUGGUUUUCUCUUGGUGCUCUUAACCGAGUGCCUUGAGUGACUAGCACGUUUACUUUGAAAAAAUUAGAGUGCUCAAAACAGGCGUUAGCCUGAAUACUGGUGCAUGGAAUAAUGGAAUAGGACCUUGGUUCUAUUUUGUUGGUUUUCGGAACAUGAGGUAAUGAUUAAGAGGGACAGACGGGGGCAUUCGUAUUGCAGCGUUAGAGGUGAAAUUCUUGGACCGCUGCAAGACGAACAACUG